CUUCCUCUUUCUCUAACAUUCUGUUAAGGUGUGUCCUGACCUCCUCAAGCCACAGAACCUCAGAGACUCAAAGCUGACCCUCUGGCAUCAGACGGCCGUGUCUAGUUUCUCUGAUGAAUUAGUCGUCCCUAUCUCUGCCACCACAUCCUUGGCCUUGCAGGAGAGGGACACAAACCACAGGGAUGUGGCAGGCGGAAAACUAGGAGAAUCAGGAAAAGAAGAAAAUAACAUCUGACAGUAUGGAUUCAGAGGUACUGAAAUUGUAAGUAAUUUGAAGGCAUGUUUAUCUGCAAAGAAGUGAAAAUCGCAGGUGGAGAGACUGCUUCAUACUGGAUUUCUAGUUACAUGUCCUUCAGUUUUGAAAAUAACUUUUUGGGGCGAUAUCACUUUGUCCCUACCACCUCCUGAACAGAGACUGCUGAGAGGCACUGCUGAACUGCCAUGGCCACCUGGCAGCUGCCAGUGCAGUGGGCCCUCUCUCCCCUGAACCCUCCUUUCACUCACUCUGCAUGAGGCCAGACUUUCCAUAGACCUCUUUCUACCUCCUCGAUCCCUUCGGUACGUAUCUCGUUUGCUGCAGGUAAGCUAAGAAAACUUUGUGCCAUUACAAACGUACGCCUAGUGGUCUUUUUUCAGAGAGCUUCAACAUCGCACUUGAAGUAUACUGAGAAAAGGUAGGAACAUUAGGAGACCAUAAAAUAUAGAGGGAAGAAACAAUAAAGCCAGAGCACAAAGGAUGGCUGAGGGCUCUCACAUUAUUCCGAGACAACCAGGAAAACCUCUGCCAUAAUUCUGCAUGUAUGUGGUUCCAGCCUUUAUACUUUGCCAGCAGUCCUUGGGUAAGUAAAUUCACUUCUUCCCCUGGACUUCAGUUCAUUUAUAAAUCCUGGAGAUUAGGUGAACUGUAUAAUUCUCAACAUCCCUCCCAGCUUGCGAUUUCUAGGAUUCUAAAAUAGCAGCCAACAGGAUUGGAAUAAAACUGCGGCAGGCUUUGAAUCGCAGUGAUGACCCGCGUAGACUACCUUGAUGAGAGGACUUCCAUGCCUGCUCUGGGUACCCUGAACCAGCCGGUAACCUCAAAAAGGUUUGUCUAUGCUACACAACUGGUUCAAUUACAUGUUUUGGAGGAAUAGAUUUUUUUUAAAAAAAAAUUCACCUUGUCAACCCUAUCGACAAAUUCUAAAUCAGUGGCUUCCAGCAAAUUUUCUCUGAAACAAAAAUCUCAGAUUUUUGCACCAAAGUUCAGGUGCGCGUGUACAGUGAUCGGUGGAAAGAGUCUUGGCUUCACCUCGAGCAUGCUGUCUGCCAGCUCAGAAAGCCCCUCUUAACUAUAAGCACAGCAGGUUCAUUCUCCUGCGAGCCAAGUUUAUUCUACAAACACGCCAAUACUUAGGAGGGAAGAAAACAAAACAAAACAAAUUAUUUCCAGUUCACGUGCUGAUUGCUAAUAAGAUUCUUCAACAAGCAACCCAGGCAGGAACAUUUCUCAUUUUCAGAGUUAGCUACCAUUUUCCCCUUGUUUCAAAUAUAAACUCUAUUAUCAUAAGGUCCACACACGCCUCAGAAUGGCUUCUCUUUGUUUAACUUUUUGCAUUUUUUUGCUGCUCAACUAAAGAGUUGUUGGGCUUUUCCCUAGCCAGGCCUUUCCUUGCAAUCGGUCUACCCUCCUUCAGCACUAAAUAAUCACAUUUCUGGACCAUUCAAAUGAACAGACUGUGCCACAUUCUUUUCUACGCAAAUAGUUUUGUCUUCUUUAACAGAGAUUUUCUAGGCAUAUACUGGCAGGUGAAACGUUUUGCUAAAACUUAUGGGAGAGUCAAAGAUGGAAAAGGGACGGUGCCUGCCUUCAAAGAGCCCUCAUUCUAGAAAAAGAGAGAGACAUGCAUGAAAACCAGUAACUCCAGGUUUUGCUCCAGUUGCCAAAUAUACAUUUAUUAAAGUUCUCAUUGGAUGAUCACCCCACGCACAACAAAAAUCCUACUGUUUAUUGUACAACUGGCUCCUUCUAACUUCAGGACAAAGCACUGAGGAAAGAGAGCACAAUUCCUAUGGCUACCAGCGUCCACUGCGGUAAACUCGCUGCAGGCCCCGUAUCCCAUCCCACUCUCUCUCCAAAGACUCAUAAUAGAAGGAAAAUAAGGAAAAAGCAAAAAGUGACCUUCACUAUGCACACAAAUGGGACAGUGUAAAAGACAGAAGAUUGAUGGAAUAAAACAAAUAGCAAAAAUUAGAGUUUUUCUCUACUUCACCCUUAAAAAUCAGCAGAGGAUUGAAGGUAUGAUCUUAAAGAGAAUUAAUGAAGCCAUAGUUAAAUGCAGGGAAGUAUGAAGGUUGCACGACCUUUGUAUCAACUUUAGGGGCUGGCAUGUCCAGGAAAGGUUGGUCCUUCCUGCAAAGUUCAAGGAGUUGGGCAAAAAUAAAACAGGACCAGAGGGCAGACAUCCCACCAGUAAUCACCAAUUGUGUGAUUUUGUGUUUUGCUUCCUGGCUUACCAUCCUUCCCAACCAACAUGGUCACAGUAAGGAACCCACCUGUGCAAGCGCCUAACACAGUGCCUGGCAUACUGUCAGUAGUAUUUGGGAAGGCAGUGCAGCCCAGAAGGGAUAGUAUGAAGAAUUCAAAGUAUGUACUCACAGCUUCAAAUGUGGCUUCUGCCACUUGAAACUCUGUGCCUUCAGACAAAGUACUUGCAUUCUCAGUGGAAUCACACUACCUCUCAUUGUUAUAGGGAGGGAUACAUGACAUUCUAUGAAUAUACAUGUAAACUCAUGCCAGGUAUUGUGGAGAGACAAAGAACAGUCCCUGCCUUCACUUUCUUGAGGCCUUGGUCCCUGGCAACAGAGCAGAUGCCAAAUAACUCCAAAUUCCCUCACUUUGCCAGUGGUAAUUAUAAUAGGAUGGGUUUACAGAGCUCAACGUUUAUCCAUUCAGCACACGGAGCAUGUACUAAGGUAUCAAAGUGGAAAGGAAAGGGGAGUGUUGGUUGCUAAAUAUUUAGAUAAAGGCUUCGUGACUGUGGAUCCGGAAUAUGUGUCACAGCUGAGGUGUGGUUUGGAAAACAGGGCCACCAUCAGGAUAGGUUGUCGUGGUUCCCAGAUUCAGUAGGCACUGCCUUGUGAGAAGGUAAACAACUUCAUUAAAUUACCUGGCUUCCUAUUUGGAAAUGGGUUACAUGGAAUAAGCACUGCAUACUCUACGAGUCUGAGAUAACAAUUAUGUGACUUUCUCUCUUCCUUCCCCCUCUCUCACCUUAUCCCCAUCAAUGGGAAUGGGAGAGCCCUUCUCUACUCCAUUCUCGUGGAUAUGUCUUUUUAGUUAGUGACUGUUGUAAGUUGUUAGGGACAGCUGUGGCCACAAUAACACUGUAGAUAGAACAGCCAUGAAAACAGUAACUGAUAAUUGAACACCUGCUCCAAGUACUCUGUAUAUUCAGAUUUUCCUCAAGGUCUUGUCCUUCUAUUUCUCCUUCUGUACCUUCUCCUUCAACAUUAAUUGCCUGUCCCCAUGUUUGUUCAGUCCCGACAUUGCUGUUGGGCAUUUCAGGACAAUAUCCUCAUUCUCAGUUGUCACCUCCAAACGGAUAACCAAGCAGUCCCUCAAACCCACAGAGUCUAACGAGACACUGUCAUCCCCACAAACUUCCUCCUUCUCUGACUUCAUGAUUUUUGAUGGCACCACUCUAUCCCUGCAGAUGUCUGAGCUUUAAAACCAAAAGUCCCCGUGUCAGAUCGUCCAUAAGUGCCAUCCUUCUUCCUUUUUGCUCUCUCUGCAAUCCUUUCUAUCCACGGUUCAACUCUCCCUUGCCCCAGGACAUUUUCAAAGCCUCCUAACACAUCUCUCAGACUUCAGGUCCUCUUCACUCCAAUUCAGCCUAAUACUGAUGCUGGAAUGAGGUUUCUAAAACACAAGACACUACCUUCCUCGAAUGCCUUCAGUGGCUCCCAGCUACAACCAGGAUAUAAGGUAUAAACUUCCUGCCAUGAAAUUCAAUGUCCUCCACAAUGUGACUCCAACAUAACUUUCCAGACCCAAAUCACAUGAUCGCUUCACAAACUCUAAGCCUAUUCUCCAGCCAAAUCCACACCUUCCCCAUUCCCCAAUUCUACCCUGCCCUUUAUGUUUUUACAGAUUUGUUAAGCAAAGCUCCAGGCAAAUCAUAAGAACUAAUAAAUACCAGUAGAAUGAAUCUAUGUGGGGUACACACUGCAAAAUUCUGUCAACUCUUCUGAAUGUUUGAAUGUUUUCAUAAUCAAACACUGGGGAAAAUAUUACUUAAGUUAAUAAAUGGACAAGAGAAUGAAUUGCUUAGGAGCUGGGUUACAUCCUCCCCAGAUAAUUAUACAGAUGCAACAUGACAUGCUAAGAGUUAUUUUUGGAAAAUGAGUAAUGGCAUAUGGAGUCCCAAAGAGGAAAGGAGGAAGGGCUAGCCCCGGGGCGCCUAAAUAGAUAUUUUGGCCAGUAAACAACCCCAAGCAAUUUAGAGGCACCCACUGACUAGAAUCAGACUACAGAGAAAAGGUUAAGAGGUAAGUCCCAACUGUGCUGGAAAGGUACGAUGCUAAGAAUUUGCUUUGUGAGGCUAAUAGCUCUAAGGACACAGUCUUUGUCCCCCUUCCUCCUCCAUGGCAUCUUCCAGGUUCUGAGUUAAAGCAAUAAAAGGAAAGCAUGUGAUUUGGUGUUCAAGGCUGUACCUACAAUAUCUCCAAGGGGAGAGAAACCUCAAUACUCUGGUUUCAGUUCAGACAUGCUUUGGAGCAUAGGUUUUAGGAAGAAAGCACCUUGUGAACUGAGUCUAUUAUGGCUUAAAUCAUUGCACUUGCAAAUAUAGCAUUAAAAUUCAAACUCCAUUCCUCAUUUUGACCAAGGAAGUAUAGUUCUUAGCUUUUUGCCCAGCUUCCCACUCUUCCAAGUCAAUAUAGAUAUUAACAAUUCGUUGUUCUAGAGCUAUCUUUCUAAUUUUGAGAAGCUUCCCACUUUAAUUUUUUUUUUUUUCUUUUUGG